AUGACACAGGAACACUUGGGGCCAUGUCCGCACUCACAGGAGCCUGGCUUCCUCAGGACCCCCUGGAGGACUCUGGAGGCGCCGUUGGGGGCCACGUCCAUAUCAGAACGGACUCCUCUGAACCACAGGGGGCCUGGGAUGGAUGGACCUGUUCGAACCCUGAACUUAAAGAGGAAAGACCUUCAUUUUCUUGGCCUCCUUGCGUCCCCUCCCAUCCUAUCUAGCUCUUUCCCCCUUCCCCGGAGCUCCUGAGAGAGCAAUUGCAAAUGACCUCAGCUUGGCAGGGUCUGUUGGGGGACAGGCCCAGGGAUUUGGGAUCAGGGAGACCUGGGGUGCGGGCAUACCGGCUGUGCAUAGGAAUUUGAUGCUGCAGACUCAUUCCCUAAGGCUAUCUUGACAACUGACUUUGUACAUAGAAAAGCUCUCCUUUAUCUUUAAAAGAUGAAGAGCCAGUCAAAGCCUUUUUUCUCUGCCCAUCUGAUUGCUCAGAUUCCAAUGUGAGAUGUAUUUCCUGUUAAUAAGGAUAAUUUACUAUCCAUAGUACUAUGGUUAAAAUAUUCUGACACAAGUAAUUCAGAGGGAUGAGGGGUUCUCAUCUCUUUCUUCACAGCUCAGUCACUCCUCAGGAAAUGCAUCUUUAUGGAUUUGGAAAGAACUGAGAGACAUUAUUACCAAUGGUCCUAUUAUUAUGUGAAGGAUCCUUCCCUGAGAUUCUUCCCCUGUUUCAACUGACACUGAAACACUUUGAACUCUUUGGAAGACAAAUGUCAAGGAAAUAAAUGUUAUGCAUUGCUAAUUUUAAAUGCCCUU
rnacentral:lncRNA from 12 species